rnacentral:rRNA from 1 species
CUAGUAAGAUCCCUUGAAGAACACAAGGUUGAUAGGUCGGGGGUGUAAGCAUGGUAACAUGUUCAGCUGACCGAUACUAAUAGAUCGAGGGCUUGACCAAAUAU